AUACGGAGGAUCCGAGCGUUAUCCGGAUUUAUUGGGUUUAAAGGGUGCGCAGGCGGCCAUUUAAGUCAGCGGUUAAAUCGUGGGGCUCAACCCCAUUCUGCCGUUGAUACUGGGUGGCUUGAUUGCGGUCGAGGUUGGCGGAAUUCGUUGUGGAGCGGUGAAAUGCAUAGAUAUGACGAAGAACACCGAUUGCGUAGGCAGCUGACCAGACCGCAAAUGACGCUCAUGCACGAAAGUGCGGGGAUCGAACAGGAUUAGAUACCCUGGUAGUCCGCACAGUAAACGAUAAAUACUUGUUUUCGGCGAUAUAAUGUCGGAGGCAAAGCGAAAGCGAUAAGUAUUCCACCUGGGGAGUACGCCGGCAACGGUGAAACUCAAAUGAAUUGGCGGGG
rnacentral:rRNA from 1 species